UGCACACUUCCUAACUGUGUCACAGGAAAACUAAGUCCCUUUCAACUUGCCAAAGUAAGCACCCAAAAGGGUUUAUUUACUCCUACUCGUCAAUGGCGCCAAUGAGUUCUCACGGCAUGCUCAACAUCCCCUGCCUGUUGGGAAAAGGAACAUUUGGUUUGGUACUUUUGACUGGUGGAAGUAAGACUACGAGUUCAGUAAUUAUGUUUUGGUGAGAUUAUAUGGUCUUACCUGUACAACCUGAAAGUCGGAGGGGUGUGGCCAUGGGUGUGGUGACCGCCAGUGUCUCCGGUGGGAGGAGGCAAGAGAGUCCGCAGCUGCAGGAUGACGCAAGCUCUCCGCUCAUGUCUACGGCUUGACAGCGGACUCUUUGGUAGCGAUGCUGAAAAGACGACGUGCUGAUGAAGACGCGCUGCUUCACGCUGCGAUGAAACCUGCAGACAGCAGCAACUCAACAUGGCAUCCAUGUUCUCAACCCUCAGAAUGUUGGGGACUCUUCUCCUUGUAUGUUUUUUUUUUUUUGCUCAAAUGUUUGGCCAACACUUUGAUUGUGUUACUUCAGUUGGACUUUUUUUCUCUAAGGAGUGUUUUUAUGUUUAAUUUGAAUGUUUUCAUUUCAAAUACUGGGAAUUUGUUUAAAGCCAUAGAGUAGCUAGUCCUUAAGAGUUUUGGAUUCAUAAUUGUUCUACUUUUUUUUUUCCCCUCAAAUCUCUUAUUUAAAUUUAGUCCUAAAAUAUAGCAAACAAGCCAUGUUUUUAUUUUAUAUUUUCUUUUUAUUUUAACCAUUUGUAUGCCCUUUCGAUUCAACUGUCUUUUUUUUUUAUUUAUUAGAAA